GUGGAUUAAAAGUGUUCCUACCGACUAAGUGACGGUUAAUCGUUCAACGCGAGAAACAUUCAACUAUGGACAAAUAUGGCGAACGUUUAUUUUUACCGGAUAUGUCGUCGUUACUUCCGUUAUUAAGGCAUAUCCAGAGAUAAACUGCGUAAUCGCAUACCCAUGUCCACAGGCAAAUUGACCAAUCAAGUCUCAUAUAAGUGUCUCAUAUAAAUGGCGUCACAUUAGCACUUGGAGCACGAUGGAUUGAUUCCUGUGCACGCAUAUUAUACGACCAUGCAAGUUUGCUGGAUGAGCCUUUACAGCCUGCGGUUGUGCACGUGUUUUGAUACGUGCAACAUAACCUGCAUUUGAUGGCAUAACUUGAAAGUACGUUCCUGUUUAAUGUCAGUUUGAUUCAACUGGGAUAUUUCGAUAUUUUACGCCUAUUUUGGUGUGAUAACGAUACGAUUAUGGCAAAGGUUUUGCGGAAACGUGCUAAAACGAAAAAAAACACGAGAGAGGAAUUAGGUCUGCUUGAUAAAUCGGUAUUAAUAGAUAAAAUAAUUCAAUUAGAAGCUCAUAACGAACAACUCAAAGUAUUGAUUGCAAAGACAACGGAUAUAAAAUCGGAGAAGAAAAGGAUGUCUGAAAAAGUGCACAAACCGUUUGAUUUCUCUCGAUGUCACAAGAGGCAUAUACUUUUGAAAUUAUAUUAUCUCGGUUGGAAUUAUGAUGGUUUUACUGUACAAGAAGAUAGCAAUGCUACUAUUGAACAUCACUUAUUCGCAGCUCUUACAAAGAGCUGUUGCAUAGAAUCUCGUGAGACCUCAAAUUAUCAUCGGUGUGGACGAACUGAUAAAGGUGUCAGUUCAUUCUGUCAAGUGAUUUCUUUAGAUAUACGUAGCAAGUUGGAGCCUGAGCAACAAAGUAACUUAUCUAAAGAAUUACCUUACUGUAAAAUAUUGAACAAAUUGUUGCCAACAAAUAUAAGAUGUAUAGCAUGGUGUCCAAUAUCAUCUGAUUUUUCCGCGAGAUUUGACUGCAAGUAUAGAAAAUAUAAAUACUUCUUUCCAAGAGGUAAUUUGGAUAUAGAUGCAAUGGAUAAAGCAGUCAAGUAUGUCAUAGGAGAAUUUGAUUUUCGUAACAUUUGUAAAAUGGAUGUAGCAAAUGGCGUAACUAAUUUUAAGAGAAAAGUAAUCGAUGCAAAAAUCUCUAUGAAUAACCAAGCGGUAGACAAAUCCACAGGCUAUGAUAUAUGCGAAUUAGAGAUCACUAGUCAAGCCUUCCUCUGGCAUCAAAUUCGUUGUUUGAUGGGUAUUUUGCUAUUGGUUGGAAAAAAAAGAGAGGAACCUGAAAUAAUCUCAAAGCUUCUGGACAUUGAAACCUGUCCACAGAAGCCUCAAUACAAUAUGGCUCAUGAAGUACCAUUGAAUCUUUGGUACUCUGAUUAUAAAGACACAGAAUGGAUUAUUGAUGAAAACGAAUUAAUAAACACUAUCAAAACAUUACAGCGAGAUUGGACUCUCAAUACCAUAAAAAUUGGAAAAUAUAGCCAACUCCACAAAUAAUGAUUUCCAAAGCGAUUGCUUGCUCCUCGGAGCACAAUCAAAAGUGUAUCAACCAUUGAUGAAACGAGAAGUGUGUGAGAGUUUAGAAAAUAAAAUCAAACAUUAUGAGAAAAAACGAAAACUCGAGGUCGUACAUUCCGAUGUUGUGUAGUGCGCAACUGUGUUAAUGCAGGGUUUGUAAUGUAUUACACAUGUACUAACAUUUUUAAACACACACAUUUCUUACUGUAAGUAAAUAUCAUAUAUGGCGUUUUUUAAUAUUUUGCUACUUAUGGGAGCGCUUUGUUCAGCCUUAUUGUUCAUCAAAUUUUGAUCCAGUGAUCAAGAAUCUUUAGCCGCUGUAAGUUUUCACUUCCAAAACAAUAAAUUUCACGGGAACAUCUCUAUGAACUGGCGCUAUAAAAAACGUUGAUAGGCCCGUUAACAACGCACGCGAGACGACGAACGAAGCUUCUAUAUAUCGCGAUCUAUGUAAAGAUAGUUCUAGACAGAUAAAAGUCGCGUCCAUUAAACUUGGCGGGUUCUUGUGCAUAGUUUAUUAGCGUAAUUGAGCUAAA
rnacentral:misc_RNA from 1 species